AACCGCUUAGAAGGAAACAGAUGGAACCGAAAAGUUGUUUAUCGGAUUCAGUCGGCCGUUGCAUUCAUUUGUUGCGGUCGAUUCAUUUCUGAUAGACACGCGCUACGACCAGUUACUCGAUGGGCGCCACUUGUGGACUGAAGACGAUUUGCUUGCAAGUUGACACUCGUCCAUGAGAAGCGACCGCAUUCGAGUGACUGAGAACCUGCCGUACCCGCUUGUCUCAUGCUGGUCGGUCUGUGCUUGGUUAACGUAGGGUCCUGCUUGCAGAGCUCUGUGGAGGCUAGGUGCUGGCUGAUUAGUCUUGAGUGGUGCUUAAGGUCUGUGGCGUCUGUGUCGGUCUCCCAUCUGACCCGUCUUGAAACACGGACCAAGGAGUCUAACUUGUGCGCAAGUCAUUGAGUGGUAAACUCAAAGGCGAAAUGAAAGUAAUGAGCAGUUUGGCUGCUCAAUCAGUAGGAUCCUCCAGUUUCGGCUGGAGGCGCACUACUAUCCCGUCGAAGGAACUUGUUUCCUAGGCGGAGAUUGAGCGCAAACGUUAGUACCCGAAAGAUGGUGAUCUAUGCCUGAGCAGGGUGAAGCCAGAGGAAACUCUGGUGGAAGUCUGAAGCAGUUCUGACGUGCAAAUCGAUGUCAGACU
rnacentral:rRNA from 1 species